UACAGAGGGUGCGAGCGUUGUUCGGAAUUAUUGGGCGUAAAGGGCGCGUAGGCGGUGCGGUAAGUCACCUGUGAAAUCUCCUGGCUCAACUGGGAGCUUGCAGGCGAAACUGCCGUGCUGGAGUGUGGGAGAGGUGCGUGGAAUUCCUGGUGUAGCGGUGAAAUUCGUAGAUAUUGGGAAGAACACCGGUGGCGAAGGCGGCUCACUGGCUCAUUACUGACGCUCAGGCGCGAUAGCGUGGGGAUCAAACAGG
rnacentral:rRNA from 1 species